UCCGUCCUUAUCUCGGGGAGACGCAGGGUCAAUGAUCGCCCAGUGAGCCCCUGCUGUGCUGCACCCAAGAUACCAUCACUGCACCCCGGCCCAUGUGUCGAGGUGCAAUUUUUGUAGUC